UCCUAUUAGACAUAAAAUGAUAAAAGACUAAUUAAUUAACAGUAACAAAAAUUAAACAAUAAAAUAUGAUAUUAAAUGGGAUCCACUUGUACCAUUCACCUCCUCGAAUCUUUCGCCGCUUAUCUAACACCUUAUAGGGACAGUGAUUUAAUUGAUACAUAAAUGACAUAGAUAUUAUACCAAAUAUCUUGAUUCUAAAAAUCUUGAAAAACUGGAGCAACUAAUAGAAUUUUUUCAUUUCUACCCAUUUUAUCCCUAAGAAUUCAACCAAAAAUUCAAGUUAUUGCACUACAAAAUUUUGGAAUUUCCAAAUGUUUCGAGAAGUGUAUUUGAUCCUAUGACUUGCUCAACCAUGUGGCCUUCUACUACAACGGACCAUUUAAGUGUGCAAAAUAUUUCAUUUACAUCAUCAUUUCAUUGUCACCAACUACCAUAAUUUUAUGAUGGUCAUCCCUUGACAUUAAGAAGUGAUUUUCAAAAUAAGUUUGUUGAUCCAUAUUGAGUUUCUCUUUCUCAAACUUCUUCUAGAGAAUUUCGACAUCAGUUCUUCCUCAAAGAUUGAUCAAUUUGUGUCAGACUCAAUCUCAACAUCCGUACAACAAUAUGAACUGUUGUCCCUGUGGGGAUUGCUCGCCAAUCCCAUAACCAACGUCGGCCCCUCAAUUGCCAAAACAGUAUCCAUCAUUGAAUUUUCCAUUUGCAAACCUAUUCACAAUCAGGCUCGCGACGAAACCCAUCAUUGCACCAGCCUCGUACAGUCAUAACACACACAUCGUGACCACCACCUCAAGCCUCUUGGCCAUCGCCAUAAAGUUUACCCACCAUAACCAAUGUGGCCACCUUCCGUGCUAUGACUUCAAGAUGUCAGAAGAUUUGUAUUAGUUCAUGCCUAUGGUUUCCAUUAUCAAUCAUGGCACAACGACGGCUAACUUGUCCUCAUCGAUACAUUGUUAGAAGCAUAGACUAGGCAAUAAUACCAAAUGAUGCUGGUGGAAUCUAGAGGAUAACAAAUACGAGAUUAAAAAGGAAAAUGUGUGUACGAAUUAACCAUUUAGGUGAAUAACUUUCUAUUCACAUUCAAUCUAACCAUCCGACAACACAAUUAUAACACCAAAUUACUCCUAAGUAGACAUUUAAGCAAAACAAAUUCUAGAAAACUUACUUAUUUUGAUUAAACUCCUAAUCCUAAUAAAA
rnacentral:lncRNA from 1 species